rnacentral:ncRNA from 12 species
UCUCUCUUGACGAAUCGUCAUCCCUUUGUGGAUGGCUUGCCUGCAAAGGCUAGUCAGGAGAGUUUCU